rnacentral:rRNA from 1 species
UACAGAGGUCUCAAGCGUUGUUCGGAUUCAUUGGGCGUAAAGGGUGCGUAGGCGGCGCGGUAAGUCGGGUGUGAAAUCUCGGGGCUUAACUCCGAAACUGCAUUCGAUACUGCCGUGCUUGAGGACUGGAGAGGAGACUGGAAUUUACGGUGUAGCAGUGAAAUGCGUAGAGAUCAUGAGGAAGACCAGUGGCGAAGGCGGGUCUCUGGACAGUUCCUGACACUGAGGCACGAAGGCCAGGGGAGCAAACGGG